GACGAAGGGGGCUAGCGUUGUUCGGAAUUACUGGGCGUAAAGCGCGUGUAGGCGGUUGUUCAAGUCAGGUGUGAAAGCCUUGAGCUCAACUCAAGAAAUGCACUUGAUACUGGAUGACUAGAGGACCGGAGAGGAUAGUGGAAUUCCCAGUGUAGUGGUGAAAUACGUAGAGAUUGGGAAGAACACCAGUGGCGAAGGCGGCUAUCUGGACGGUUUCUGACGCUAAGACGCGAAAGCGUGGGGAGCAACAGG
rnacentral:rRNA from 1 species